rnacentral:misc_RNA from 1 species
CAACCCUUAAGCCUAGCUUAGUGUUGGGAGUCUAUGAGUGGGCCACGUUACCCUGUAGCGUGGUUACCCUGUAGUUCCUGAAAAUCAACGGCGGAUUUACAGUAUCCUCUGAGCGUAGUAAUUCUUUAUCUCGCUUCUGCUUAGGUACUGUAACUUUGGCCGCUAAACCCCCAAAAUUUUUGUG